CAGUUUGGUCUCGGGGCUCCAGUUUCUGAAGCUGGAAGAAACCAGAAUAGUUUCCAACUAGAACAAGAAGUGAGAACCCAAGAUAGAUUCAUCUCUACACUGAAAUUACAGAUUGAAGAUCUCAAACAGACAAAUCAUGACUUGGAAGAAUAUGUUAGGAAACUCUUGGAUAGUAAAGAGGCGGUAAGCACUCAAGUAAAUGAUUUAACCAACCACAAUGAGCAUCUUUGUAAAGAGUUGAUUAAACUUGACCAACUAGCAGAGCAAUUAGAAAAAGAAAAGAAUUUUGUGGUGGACACUGCCGACAAAGAACUUGAAGAAGCAAAGAUUGAACUCAUUUGCCAG